rnacentral:rRNA from 1 species
GACGAGCGCUGGCGGCGUGCCUAAUACAUGCAAGUUGAGCGCUGAAGGUUGGUACUUGUACCAACUGGAUGAGCAGCGAACGGGUGAGUAACGCGUGGGGAAUCUGCCUUUGAGCGGGGGACAACAUUUGGAAACGAAUGCUAAUACCGCAUAAAAACUUUAAACACAAGUUUUAAGUUUGAAAGAUGCAAUUGCAUCACUCAAAGAUGAUCCCGCGUUGUAUUAGCUAGUUGGUGAGGUAAAGGCUCACCAAGGCGAUGAUACAUAGCCGACCUGAGAGGGUGAUCGGCCACAUUGGGACUGAGACACGGCCCAAACGCCUACGGGAGGCAGCAGUAGGGAAUCUUCGGCAAUGGACGAAAGUCUGACCGAGCAACGCCGCGGGAGGGAAGAAGGGUUUCGGAUCGUAAAACUCUGUUGGUAGAGAAGAACGUUGGUGAGAGUGGAAAGCUCAUCAAGUGACGGUAACUACCCAGAAAGGGACGGCUAACUACGUG